GCGAAAUUCCUUGUCGGGUAAGUUCCGACCCGCACGAAUGGCGUAACGAUUUCUCCACUGUCUCCAACAUCACUUCAGCGAAAUUGAAUUCCCCGUGCAGAUGCGGGGUACCCGCGGUUAGACGAAGAGACCCCGUGCACCUUUACUAUAGCUUUACAUUGCUAUUAAAAGUGUGAUGUGCAGGAUAGGUGGGAGACUUUGAAGUUAUGGCGCUAGCUAUAAUGGAGUCAACCUUGAGAUACCACCCUUUACACUUUUGAUAUCUAACUAUGUUUCAUUAUCUGGAACUAGGACAUUGUAUGGUGGGUAGUUUGACUGGGGCGGUCGCCUCCUAAAAAGUAACGGAGGCGUGCGAAGGUAAGCUAGAGCUGGUCGGAAAUCAGCUUGAUAGUAUAAUGGCAUAAGCUUGCCUGACUGCGAGGCUGACAAGCCAAGCAGAGACGAAAGUCGGUCAUAGUGAUCCGGUGAUUCUGUAUGGAAGGGUCAUCGCUCAACGGAUAAAAGGUACGCCGGGGAUAACAGGCUGAUGGUGUUCGAGCGUUCAUAGCGACGACACCGUUUGGCACCUCGAUGUCGACUCAUCACAUCCUGGGGCUGAAGAAGGUCCCAAGGGUUCGGCUGUUCGCCGAUUAAAGUGAUACGUGAGUUGGGUUUAGAACGUCGUGAGACAGUUCGGUUUCUAUCUGCCGUGGGUGAAGGAAAUUUGAGAAGGUCUGACUCUAGUACGAGAGGACCGAGAUGGAUAUACCUCUGGUGUACCAGCUGUUAUGCCAAUAGCAUCGCUGGGUGGCUAUGUAUAGAUGGGAUAAUUGCUGAAAGCAUAUAAGCAAGAAACCCUCUUCAAAAAAAUUUCCCAAUUAAGGCCGUGGAAGACUACCACGUUGAUAGGCUAGGUGUGGAAGCAUGGUAACAUGUGAAGCUAACUAGUACUAAUAGCCUGAUUGAUUUAUUUGCUUUC
rnacentral:rRNA from 1 species